AGUAGCUGGAAUUACAGGCAUGUGCCACCACGCCCAGAAUUUCAGACAAAAAUCAGGCACUGUCACCAGAAGACUGCUGACCACGUGACGUCUGCCAGGCAUCAGGAAGACGACCAGCCUCCCUAACGAAUGAAAGAAACUUCACCUGACCGUGUUUGGUACAUUUCGUUUGGGAGUCUUUUAAAAAAUGGGUACUUGUACUACUGGGUUCAGGUUUUCAGCUGUGGAAUAUUCUAGAAAAAACAGCGAUAACACUUAUUUCACCGCUCUAACCCUGAA